UACGAAGGGGGCUAGCGUUGUUCGGAAUUACUGGGCGUAAAGGGCGCGUAGGCGGCGUGUCAAGUCAGGCGUGAAAGCCCCGGGCUCAACCUGGGAACCGCGCUUGAGACUGGCAUGCUCGAGUUCGGGAGAGGACGGUGGAAUUCCCAGUGUAGAGGUGAAAUUCGUAGAUAUUGGGAAGAACACCGAUGGCGAAGGCAGCCAUCUGGACCGACACUGACGCUGAGGCGCGAAAGCGUGGGGAGCAAACAGG
rnacentral:rRNA from 1 species